rnacentral:rRNA from 1 species
CACCUUCGAACUCGACCUCAGAUCAGGUGGGACUACCCGCUGAACUUAAGCAUAUCAAUAAGCGGAGGAAAAGAAACUAACAAGGAUUCCCCUAGUAACUGCGAGUGAAGCGGGAAAAGCUCAAAUUUAAAAUCUGGCGGUCUCUGUGGCCGUCCGAGUUGUAAUUUAGAGAAGCGUUUUCCGCGCCGGUCCGUGUACAAGUCUCCUGGAACGGAGCGUCGUAGAGGGUGAGAAUCCCGUCUUUGACACGGACAGCCGGUGCUAUGUGAUACGCUCUCGAAGAGUCGAGUUGUUUGGGAAUGCAGCUCAAAACGGGUGGUGAACUCCAUCUAAAGCUAAAUAUUGGCGAGAGACCGAUAGCGAACAAGUACCGUGAGGGAAAGAUGAAAAGCACUUUGGAAAGAGAGUGAAACAGUACGUGAAAUUGCUGAAAGGGAAACGCUUGAAGUCAGUCGCGUCCGCCGGGACUCAGCCCUCGUGGUGUACUUUCCGGCGGACGGGCCAGCAUCACUUUCGGUCGUCGGAUAAGGGCGGGGGAAAUGUGGCACCCUUCGGGGUGUGUUAUAGUCCCCCGUCGUAUACGUCGGCCGGGAGUGAGGACCGCCUUUGUUGCAGGAUGCUGGCGUAAUGGCUUUAAACGACCCGUCUUGAAACACGGACCAAGGAGUCUAACAUGCCCGCGAGUGUUCGGGUGGCAAACCCGUGCGCGUAAUGAAAGUGAAAGGUUGGGAAGGCUGUCGUGGCCUGCACCGACGCCCGGACCUGAGAUUCAUCGACGGUUCUGCGGUAGAGCGUGUAUGUUGGGACCCGAAAGAUGGUGAACUAUGCCUGAAUAGG